rnacentral:rRNA from 1 species
GAUGAACGCUGGCGGCGUGCCUAAUACAUGCAAGUCGAGCGAACAGAUGAGGAGCUUGCUCCUCUGACGUUAGCGGCGGACGGGUGAGUAACACGUGGAUAACCUACCUAUAAGACUGGGAUAACUUCGGGAAACCGGAGCUAAUACCGGAUAAUAUAUUGAACCGCAUGGUUCAAUAGUGAAAGACGGUUUUGCUGUCACUUAUAGAUGGAUCCGCGCCGCAUUAGCUAGUUGGUAAGGUAACGGCUUACCAAGCAACGAUGCGUAGCCGACCUGAGAGGGUGAUCGGCCACACUGGAACUGAGACACGGUCCAGACUCCUACGGGAGGCAGCAGUAGGGAAUCUUCCGCAAUGGGCGAAAGCCUGACGGAGCAACGCCGCGUGAGUGAUGAAGGUCUUCGGAUCGUAAAACUCUGUUAUUAGGGAAGAACAAAUGUGUAAGUAACUAUGCACGUCUUGACGGUACCUAAUCAGAAAGCCACGGCUAACUACGUG